GUGGAUGCCUUGGCAGUAAGAGGCGAUGAAGGACGUGAUACUCUGCGAUAAGCCAUGG
rnacentral:rRNA from 1 species